rnacentral:lncRNA from 1 species
GAGUUAAUAUUAUUGUUAAUAAACUUCUUUGGCUCUUUACAGUAACGAAAGAAAAAAUGAGAAAAGAUGCAUCUUGACUUUGCUUACCAGCAUCUGUGGCACUUUGUCCUGUACUUUGUCCUGAGUUUUGUAUUGGAUACUGGAAAGUGUUUUGCAGCCUGCAGCAUGUAACAGUAUAUGGAAGAGCUAUUCUGUGGAUUCUCCUCAAUGAGACAUCCAGGAUGGCUGCCGGUGACUGCAAGGAACUACAUGCAGUGGUCCAUAUGCCACAUUUCAGUGCUCGUUUCUUGCCAGGUAGCCUUGAUCUUAAGAAGAUAUACUGAGGAAGAGGUGCUGAAAGAGAUUAGCACUAGUGCCAUAAUCAACUUCUGCUUUUCUGGAAUAAUAGGUCAGGUAAACAGUAAACUUUAAUAUUCAGGCACAAGCCAAAAUACAUGAAUUUAUCCGUAGUGUAAUGAUAGUAGAAAACCUCUAACUAUCUUUGGCAUUUUUGGCUCAUUCAGAAACUCUUGUAAUUACAAAUAAUAAACAUCUAUAAAGUGAGAGUCUAUUUAGACA